rnacentral:rRNA from 1 species
GACGAACGCUUGCGGCGUGCUUAACACAUGCAAGUCGAACGGAAAGGCCCUGCUUUUGUGGGGUGCUCGAGUGGCGAACGGGUGAGUAACACGUGAGUAACCUGCCCUUGACUUUGGGAUAACUUCAGGAAACUGGGGCUAAUACCGGAUAGGAGCUCCUGCUGCAUGGUGGGGGUUGGAAAGUUUCGGCGGUUGGGGAUGGACUCGCGGCUUAUCAGCUUGUUGGUGGGGUAGUGGCUUACCAAGGCUUUGACGGGUAGCCGGCCUGAGAGGGUGACCGGCCACAUUGGGACUGAGAUACGGCCCAGACUCCUACGGGAGGCAGCAGUGGGGAAUAUUGCACAAUGGGCGGAAGCCUGAUGCAGCAACGCCGCGUGCGGGAUGACGGCCUUCGGGUUGUAAACCGCUUUCGCCUGUGACGAAGCGUGAGUGACGGUAAUGGGUAAAGAAGCACCGGCUAACUACGUGCCAGCAGCCGCGGUGAUACGUAGGGUGCGAGCGUUGUCCGGAUUUAUUGGGCGUAAAGGGCUCGUAGGUGGUUGAUCGCGUCGGAAGUGUAAUCUUGGGGCUUAACCCUGAGCGUGCUUUCGAUACGGGUUGACUUGAGGAAGGUAGGGGAGAAUGGAAUUCCUGGUGGAGCGGUGGAAUGCGCAGAUAUCAGGAGGAACACCAGUGGCGAAGGCGGUUCUCUGGGCCUUUCCUGACGCUGAGGGGCGAAAGCGUGGGGAGCGAACAGGCUUAGAUACCCUGGUAGUCCACGCUGUAAACGGUGGGUACUAGGUGUGGGGUCCAUUCCACGGGUUCCGUGCCGUAGCUAACGCUUUAAGUACCCCGCCUGGGGAGUACGGCCGCAAGGCUAAAACUCAAAGGAAUUGACGGGGCCCCGCACAAGCGGCGGAGCAUGCGGAUUAAUUCGAUGCAACGCGUAGAACCUUACCUGGGUUUGACAUGGAUCGGGAGUGCUCAGAGAUGGGUGUGCCUCUUUUGGGGUCGGUUCACAGGUGGUGCAUGGCUGUCGUCAGCUCGUGUCGUGAGAUGUUGGGUUAAGUCCCGCAACGAGCGCAACCCUUGUUCACUGUUGCCAGCACGUUAUGGUGGGGACUCAGUGGAGACCGCCGGGGUCAGCUCGGAGGAAGGUGGGGAUGACGUCAAGUCAUCAUGCCCCUUAUGUCCAGGGCUUCACGCAUGCUACAAUGGCUGGUACAGAGAGUGGCGAGCCUGUGAGGGUGAGCGAAUCUCGGAAAGCCGGUCUCAGUUCGGAUUGGGGUCUGCAACUCGACCUCAUGAAGUCGGAGUCGCUAGUAAUCGCAGAUCAGCAACGCUGCGGUGAAUACGUUCCCGGGGCU